rnacentral:rRNA from 1 species
CCCUUAGACGUUCUGGGCCGCACGCGCGCUACACUGACCAGUGCAACAAGCAUCCGUCCUUGGCCGAGAGGCCUGGGCAAUCUUGUUAACGUGCAUCGUGAUAGGGAUAGAUUAUUGAAAUUAUUAAUCUUGAACGAGGAAUUCCUAGUAAACGCAGAUCAUCAAUCUGCAUUGAUUACGUCCCUGCCCUUUGUACACACCGCCCGUCGCACCUACCGAUUGGAUGGUCCGGUGAAGCCUCGGGAUUGUGGUUCUUGCCGCUUUAUUGUGGCGUGACCGCGAGAACUUGUCUAAACCUUAUCAUCUAGAGGAAGGUGAAGUCGUAACA